UACAGAGGGUGCGAACGUUGCUCGGAAUUACUGGGCGUAAAGCGCGUGUAGGCGGACGGGUAAGUCAGAUGUGAAAUCCCCGAGCUCAACUCGGGAACUGCAUUUGAAACUGCUCGUCUUGAGUACCGGAGAGGGUGGCGGAAUUCCUGGUGUAGAGGUGAAAUUCGUAGAUAUCAGGAGGAACACCGGUGGCGAAGGCGGCCACCUGGACGGUAACUGACGCUGAGACGCGAAAGCGUGGGGAGCAAACAGG
rnacentral:rRNA from 1 species